UGGGGUGUAGCUCAGUGGUAGAGCACGUGCUUGGCCUGCACGAGGUCCUGGGUUCUAUCCUCAGUGCCUCUG
rnacentral:tRNA from 1 species